rnacentral:pre_miRNA from 1 species
UGUAGGAGUGAGAUAGGGGCUUACUUGAAAAUUUACAAAACAGUCAGUCUUUUUCUCUCUCCUAUG